UACGGAGGGUGCAAGCGUUAUCCGGAUUCACUGGGUUUAAAGGGUGCGUAGGUGGGUUGGUAAGUCAGUGGUGAAAUCCCCGAGCUUAACUUGGGAACUGCCAUUGAUACUAUCAGUCUUGAAUACCGUGGAGGUCAGCGGAAUAUGUCAUGUAGCGGUGAAAUGCUUAGAUAUGACAUAGAACACCAAUUGCGAAGGCAGCUGGCUACACGAAUAUUGACACUCAGGAACGAAAGCGUGGGGAUCAAACAGG
rnacentral:rRNA from 1 species